rnacentral:rRNA from 1 species
CCUACGGUGGGGCAGCAGUGGGGAAUAUUGGACAAUGGGCGAAAGCCUGAUCCAGCCAUGCCGCGUGUGUGAAGAAGGCCUUCGGGUUGUAAAGCACUUUCAGUGGGGAAGAAAGCCUUGGGGCUAAUACCCUCGAGGAAGGACAUCGCCCACAGAAGAAGCACCGGCUAACUCCGUGCCAGCAGCCGCGGUAAUACGGAGGGUGCGAGCGUUAAUCGGAAUUACUGGGCGUAAAGCGCGCGUAGGCGGUCUGAUAAGCCGGUUGUGAAAGCCCCGGGCUCAACCUGGGAACGGCAUCCGGAACUGUCAGGCUAGAGUGCAGGAGAGGAAGGUAGAAUUCCCGGUGUAGCGGUGAAAUGCGUAGAGAUCGGGAGGAAUACCAGUGGCGAAGGCGGCCUUCUGGACUGACACUGACGCUGAGGUGCGAAAGCGUGGGUAGCAAACAGGAUUAGAUACCCGGGUAGUC